AAAACACCCAGAGGGGACCCUAAAGGCUGACCUUGCCUAACCUUCAACUGGGAAAGCAGGAAUUCAGGUUCCCUGCCCUUGAAUGAUCCAAAACAAAAGUCAUUUCUCUCCCAAGGCAUGGUCCAGCUUAGAGGAAAUGAAAGGCAGUAGAAAAGUCUGGCUCCAGGUUCUUCUGGAACCUGGGAGACACCAGACACAGAAGCCUUGAUAAGCCACAGUGGCUCAGAGUUUGAGAAGCAGAGAUCUACGGUUUGCCCCUAAGCACACAGGAGAGGUGACAGUUAUAAACUCCAUCACUAAGAGCUAGGCUCGGAGGACAUCACAGAAGAGGGGGCAGGAGGAGCCGGAUGAUGGGGAGGAGCACUGUCAGUGCUGAGGCGGCCACCACAUUGUGGACUCCCCCCUGUGAAGGUUACCUGCACGAGCUCUGAUCAGCAAGAUCCAUCAACAUUCCAGCGGGCAACACUAACUGGACUCACUGAUUUACAAAAAUGAAAACUGGACAUGAAGACCUGAAGCAGGAUAAUCCUUAGGCUGAAGUCUCUUUAUAAAACAGCCCGAAGUGGAUCUGAGCACAGAGCUAACAGAGUGAAGAUUUGUCUUAACGUUUUCAUCCACAGGUGGCACUGAGGAUCCAAAAGCAAAAUGCUGGUGGUUCAAGGAUGCACAGGUUUAACUGGUAUGGGAAGACCCCGGGGAUACUGGUAUGUGUGCAUGGAGACUGGAUACCAAACAGAAGUGUGCAAGCAUUCAUUGUUCUCUCUUCCUGACUGUAGAUACAAAGUGAGCCGCAAGCUCCUGCUGCCUUGAUUUCCCCGCUAUGAUGGACUAUGCCCUGAACUGCAAGCUAAAAGUGGCCCUUUCUCCCCUAAGUUGCUUUUGUCUGGGUACUUUAUCACAGCAACAGAAGAGAAACUAAGCCAGUCGCCUUGUCUGAUCUUCCUGUCCCUUCAGUAUUGUGACUUGGUCUUGAGCUAUACUUGGUCUUAAAGACUGGUGACUUUUCAGCAUCUCCUCUGUGACAUCAGAAACUUCAUCUUAUUUAUUCCAGAUUUCCAGUGCUGAAAAAAAAAUGCAUGGUACACAGCAGAUGUUCAAUACACGCAUUUAGAUGUGUGUAUGAACAUACACAUGUGUAAAGUAGAGCACUGUAUUGAGAUAAUGUAUUGAUGUU